rnacentral:rRNA from 1 species
UACGUAGGGACCAAGCGUUGUUCGGAUUUACUGGGCGUAAAGGGCGCGUAGGCGGCUUGACAAGUCACUUGUGAAAUCUCCGGGCUUAACUCGGAACGGCCAAGUGAAACUGUCAUGCUAGAGUGCAGAAGGGGCAAUCGGAAUUCUUGGUGUAGCGGUGAAAUGCGUAGAUAUCGGAAGGAACAUCAGUGGCGAAAGCGACUUCCUGGACCAGUACCGACGUUCAGGCACGAAAGCGUGGGGAGCAAACAGG